rnacentral:rRNA from 1 species
UGCGCAGGCGGUUCGGAAAGAGAGGUGUGAAAUCCCAGGGCUCAACCUUGGAACUGCACUUUUAACUACCGAGCUAGAGUAUGUCAGAGGGGGGUGGAAUUCCGCGUGUAGCAGUGAAAUGCGUAGAUAUGCGGAGGAACACCGAUGGCGAAGGCAGCCCCCUGGGAUAAUACUGACGCUCAUGCACGAAAGCGUGGGGAGCAAACA